rnacentral:rRNA from 1 species
CCCUUAGAUGUUCUGGGCCGCACGCGUGCUACACUGAGUGGAUCAGCGGGUCAGGUUGCGCGAAAGUGUUUCCUAAUCUUUAAAUCCGCUCGUGAUGGGGAUUGACGGUUGCAAUUUUCCGUCAAGAACGAGGAAUACCUUGUAAGCGCGGGUCAUCAUCCCGCGCUGAAUACGUCCCUGCCCUUUGUACACACCGCCCGUCGCUCCUACCGAUUGAGUGGUCCGGUGAGGCUUUGGGAUCUGAGCGGAAAGAGCGUUUCGCUGUUUCUGCCCGGAAAACUCAGUCGAACCUUAUCAUUUAGAGGAAGGAGAAGUCGUAACA